rnacentral:rRNA from 1 species
UACGUAGGGUGCAAGCGUUAAUCGGAAUUACUGGGCGUAAAGCGUGCGCAGGCGGUUAUAUAAGACAGUUGUGAAAUCCCCGGGCUCAACCUGGGAACUGCAUCUGUGACUGUAUCGCUAGAGUACGGUAGAGGGGGGUAGAAUUCCACGUGUAGCAGUGAAAUGCGUAGAGAUGUGGAGGAAUACCGAUGGCGAAGGCAAUCCCCUGGGCCUGCACUGACGCUCAUGCACGAAAGCGUGGGGAGCAAACAGG